CGUAAGAACGCUCUCAGUAGCUCAGUGUAAGAGAAUGGUUCAAACACAGUUGUGUGAAAAUGCUGCAUUUUGCAUCUUGUACAGUUCGUCCGGAUCGCCUACAGAAAAAAGAAAUUAUCAAAUGAACACACUUUCGGGUAGUUCGCACACAGUUGGCUAAUCUAUUUGAAAAUAUACUGAUUUCACAAGAAAUUAAUAAUACAAAAAUGCAACACAUUCAUUACACAUUGCAUAAUCACUAUUUUUACACUAUUGUUGUUUCAAAUAUUUAUGUGAUGGUCAAUUAUUUAUUUUCUGCCCUUUUAUUAGACCACCUUAUGAAUGAAAUGUGUUGGUGCAUCAAAUGAGCAUGCUGUGUAUAAACUGUACGGGGAAUUAACAUCUCUCUGUCUCCUUUGAUUCGGGCGAUUACUAACGCCUCUGCUGCCCUAAUACAAAAGGGAUCGCUUUUUACUUAGCUAUAUUAAAUCAGCUCAUGCACAUUAUAAAGCAUUACAAAGACAAAGGCAAGAUUUGCAUCCGUAUGCAACUGUCUUUCAACUAUUAUUAAGCCAUCAUUGAUGUGUGAAAAAUUGAUGUUCUGUAAGAGGACUAAUAGUGGAGGAGGGAUUCGAGGUGGAGUUGUUGGCACUUUGAUCUUUGAUCGGCAAAUUCCGAUUUUUCUUUGUGCGACUAUAUUUGGUAAAUCAGAUUUGCAUUCCACGUGUUGUGGGGAGUAAAACCAUCAUUGCUUACUUCCGGGUAUGAGGGGGGAAAUUAAAGCCCAAACUGUUUAUUGUGUCCCUGGCGGCAACCAACCAGAAAGGGUCAUGACACGAACAUUGGAAAGAUUGGAAAAAUAGAGAAGGACAUGGAACAGAUUAAGCGGAAUACACCCAGAUACCAGGCUGAAGGGAUUGCUCCUCCUCAGUAGCAAGGAGGCUAUGGAGUUGCUGGAGGCAUGAUGAUGCAUUAGGGGAUUUUAACAGGAACAUCGGGACCAUAUCUCUCCAAAAACGCUUUAAAAAAAAAUUCCAUUGCACACACAGAGGUGGAUCUCCCAAAGACACAACUGCCUUCAACAAAGAAACACCUUGUGCAGCAGCAGAGAGGAGAUUCAGAAAUGUGGCUUCUACUCUCUGGCAAUUUCGGAGUCUGUGCCCUCCUUUUUCAUUAUUUUUACAUACCAAUACAGAGGAGGGAAAAAAAGUUAUAUUGAACACGCGAAGCUUAAUUUUCGCCCGUAUAACGUUUUUUGCUUUAAUCUACAAAAUUCUUUACUAUCCUGACCCAUUUCUUGCGGCAACGUAUUUGGACCCAAUCGCGUGUCAAAGAACCGCACAAUACUGAAUGUACAUUAGAAGUAAUGGGAUUGUUCCAUAAACCUGCUUGACGGAACGAUUGUUUACUCUUACUUCGUAUUGAUCUGUUUAUAUUGAUUUUUGUUAUUGUUGUUGCCCAAAGAUGCCGCUAAAGUUCCCUCUGUUGCUUUCUCUGGGAAAGGUGUAGGAGGAUUAAAACAAGUUUGAAGUUUCGGCAGUUGUUUGUUAUAUAUAUAUAUAUUUAUAUAUAAAUUCCAAUCCCAAGGUAUUCAAUUAGUUAAAAUGAGCAUUGCAUAUCAUCGUAUGUUAUUUUGUAGAUGCGGUUAUUUCGACACAUGACCAUGGAAUAGUCAUGUACAAUAUUACCAUAUUUCAAAAUUAAUUGCAUGAUAAAGGAUGCUUAAGCGCGGAUGCCUUAAAUUUCACGCAAUUCACUUUCUUAUCUAAAUCGUUUGUAUCGCAAAAAGACGGCGCCCGAAAUCACAAUGGCAAUGUUAAUUUGCUGUUAAAUGAUACAAUAGGUAUCUAUUGAGAACUACUAUUAACCGCCAGGUAAUUUCGUUAAAUAAAGUUUAUCUUUUUAAAUU